AGAGUUUGAUCCUGGCUCAGGACGAACGCUGGCGGCGUGCUUAACACAUGCAAGUCGAACGAGAGCGUAGAGAAAGCUUGCUUUUUCUACAAUCUAGUGGCAAACGGGUGAGUAACGCGUAAACAACCUGCCCUACGGAUGGGGACAACAGCUGGAAACGGCUGCUAAUACCGAAUACGUUCCGAAAGUCGCAUGACUGUCGGAAGAAAGGAUGGCCUCUAUUUAUAAGCUAUCGCCGGAGGAGGGGUUUGCGUCUGAUUAGCUAGUUGGAGGGGUAACGGCCCACCAAGGCGACGAUCAGUAGCCGGUCUGAGAGGAUGAACGGCCACAUUGGAACUGAGACACGGUCCAGACUCCUACGGGAGGCAGCAGUGGGGAAUCUUCCGCAAUGGGCGAAAGCCUGACGGAGCAACGCCGCGUGAGUGAAGACGGCCUUCGGGUUGUAAAGCUCUGUUAUACGGGACGAAUAGUCUUGUGGUUAAUACCCAUGAGAAGUGACGGUACCGUAAGAGAAAGCCACGGCUAACUACGUGCCAGCAGCCGCGGUAAUACGUAGGUGGCAAGCGUUGUCCGGAAUUAUUGGGCGUAAAGGGCGCGCAGGCGGCUUCUUAAGUCUGUCUUAAAAGUGCGGGGCUUAACCCCGUGAUGGGAUGGAAACUGGGAAGCUCAGAGUAUCGGAGAGGAAAGCGGAAUUCCUAGUGUAGCGGUGAAAUGCGUAGAUAUUAGGAGGAACACCAGUGGCGAAAGCGGCUUUCUGGACGAAAACUGACGCUGAGGCGCGAAAGCCAGGGGAGCGAACGGGAUUAGAUACCCCGGUAGUCCUGGCCGUAAACGAUGGGUACUAGGUGUAGGAGGUAUCGACCCCUUCUGUGCCGGAGUUAACGCAAUAAGUACCCCGCCUGGGGAGUACG
rnacentral:rRNA from 1 species